rnacentral:rRNA from 1 species
UACGUAGGGUGCAAGCGUUUGUCCGGAAUUAUUGGGCGUAAAGAGCUUGUAGGCGGUUUGUCGCGUCUGCUGUGAAAUUUCGGGGCUCAACCCCGAACUUGCAGUGGGUACGGGCAGACUAGAGUGUGGUAGGGGAGACUGGAAUUCCUGGUGUAGCGGUGAAAUGCGCAGAUAUCAGGAGGAACACCGAUGGCGAAGGCAGGUCUCUGGGCCGAUACUGACGCUGAGGAGCGAAAGCGUGGGGAGCAAACAGG